UGUGGUUUGAAUAUGGUUUAUCUGCUCUGAGACUCAUGCGGCGUCUCCACUGCCCUCUCUCUGGCCACAAGACAACUUGUACCACCUCAAGUUUCUGCCAGCAAAAAGACCACCACUAAGGUUCUUCAGUGUUGGACCAGAAACAUGAACCAAAUCUGCCAGAGGCCAUAAGAAUACACAGCAGAUGAGAACUGAUAAGAUCAACCCACUAGAUGAAUGACUCUCUGAUGCAGGAACCUCACCAAUUACAUAUAUUGCUGACAGAAAGCUCUGGACAAUACAUGAGUUACAUUUUGAGGGUCACAUUACAUUUCCUGAGUAAAAAAUAAGAAGAUUACGUGAUAACACAUGUGGAAUCACAUGGUUUUUCUUGGACUUGGAAUGUUGCUCUGACUGGGCAGCCAGCAAGGCUGGAAGUGAGUAACCAUGGCAACACUUGGCUCUCAGCCAAGCUCCCUGGUGAGCAGUCUGGACAUUGUGUUGUGAGCCACAGAAGAUACACUUUGUCUCUGGCCAGAGGACUGGAUUCCCAGGAUGCUGGACUGGUCUACACUGUCCUACAGUGCUUUGUUCCAUACACGGGUCUCUCCACAGGAGCGUGUAGCAAAAUUGAGAAAAUAAAAUGUUAUCCUUUGUA